rnacentral:rRNA from 1 species
GAUGAACGCUGGCGGCGUGCCUAAUACAUGCAAGUCGAACGGAAAGGCCCUGCUUUUGCGGGGUUCUCGAGUGGCGAACGGGUGUGUAACACGCGUGUAACCCCUCCCUGUCUUUGUGGUAACUUUACGAAACUGGGGCUAAAAUCCCAUAUGAGCUCCUGCUCCACAGUGGGGGUUGGAAAGUGUCGGCGGUUGGGGAUGGUCUGGCGGGUUAUCCGCCUGUUGGUGGGGUUGUGGCUUUCCAAGGUUUCGACGGGUAGCCGGCCUGAGAGGGUUACCGGCGACAUUGGGACUGAGAUACGGCCCAGACUCCUACGGGAGGCAGCGGGGGGGAGUAUUGCACAAUGGGCGGAAGCCUGAGGCAGAAACGCCGCGUGCGGGAUGACGGCCUUCGGGUUGUAAACCGCUUUCGCCGGUGACGAAGCGUGAGUGACGGUAAUGGGUAAAGAAGCACCGGCUAACUACGUG